AGGAGAAGAGCCCCUCUGCCCGUUUUCAUCAGUCUUUUCAAAUCCCCUUCCUUUCCCAUCGUUGGAAAUUUAAAUCCUCUCUCCUUCACUUUCCCAAUUCUUCACUAUUUCUUUCUCUUCAAAUUUUUCCUCUCUCAUCCGUUUUCUUCUCUUUCUUCUCAAUCGUUUCUGUUUUUUUUUCUGAUAUGGAAAUCACUUGCUUCAUCCAUAGAUUUUGGGUUUUCAGUCCUAGGAAAUAUUGUUUCGGUUCGUCUUUUCAAAUCUAUGGAUGUCUUUGUGGUUGUUCUUGUUGGAUGCUUUGGGAAAGAAAGAAACUCUGGCUCUGCAAGAUUUCACCAGCAAUGGCCUCUCUUUUGCAGUCAAUCUCUAUUACAUUGAUUCUUAUCCCAAAUAGACACGCUAUUCCCUUCAUCGUAUUGCACGACUGCCAAAAGCGGAGGUGGAAGUUUGCCAAUGCAUAUUGAAAAGUUUUAUGAGACAAUUGGUCUGGAAGUGCAGAAUGGAUAUGGUUUAAUAGAAACAUCACCUUGCGUUGCUGGUCGACAACCUUAUUAUAAUGUUUACAAUUCACUGUUUCGCUCUGUGUUUGAAAUCUAUUGAUAUGGGUCUGUCUGUUUCUUUUUGGUUGCUUUUUCGGAGGCUGAUUUCAGGUUUAGACAUCACUGUUUCGUUUCUUGUUUCAAAUCUAUUGAUCUCGAUCUGUUUGUUCUUUUUGUUUGUUUCCUGUGUCCUUUUUCGAGUGGAAUUCAAAAGCGGAUAUCUUCAAGCCCCAAUGCUAUUAAAUUAAUAGUAUUUUCAUUCAUAAGGGUCAGCUUGGCAUACACGGAGUUGAAGAGAAUUUAUGAGGUGAUGGCAAUUUUUGUGAAACUAAAGUUGAAUUCUGCAGAUUCCUUGUUAAUGCUUUAUGUUGUUAUGCACUCUCCCAUGGCUUAAAUUCAUUCUUUAAUGCCCUAAAACUUGAGAUAAAUGGGGAUUUUAGAUGCCAGUUUAACGUGAUACCCAUAUUUCUUUUAUGGAUAUAAUGCCUAAAGUUCAACUAAGACCAGAUACUUCAUUUCUAGUGAAAUUGUUUAAGCAAUUGUGCCUUUGUAUAAAUUGUUAAAAUUCUGUUAAAUGUACAUUCAAGGUUAAACAUGGUUCUGCUUAUCAGGGAAUUCAUUUGACAAUAGGGUUAUGCUGAUAAUGCUUUCUGCAGAAUAUGGUGACUAUUCUGCAGAAUAGGGUUUGACAAUAGGGUUAUGUGGAAUUGACCAUACUGAAUAAAGCAAAUUAAAAACUAUCAUCCUGUGUUGCUUUAAUUUUCAUUUUUCUUAAAGUAUCCAUGUUCAACACAUUCCCGGACGUGGCAUAUGACCCUCCAAAUACAUGAAAGGUUAUGUUACUUGGACUUCGGUGUAAGUAUUGGACAUAGGCAUCUGACCUGAGUAUUUUCAGUUUUUUCUAGGAUCGCAUGUAUUUGGAGGACUUUUGGAGGACUAUAUCUCGAUGCCCAUGUCUUUGCAUGUGUUGGAGAUGAAUUCAGACACAAUAGUUAUUUAGGCAAAAUGAAGAGUUGGGUUAAUAUAGAGAAAAACUUACCAAAAAAAAAUCAAACAUACCCAUAUAAGAUGCGUGCGUGUCACAUGUACCGAGUGUUGGUGCACUCAUAUGGUCCUCUGACUGCCUUUUUCGCUCCAAACUAUCAAACUGCAUGAAUUCUAAUGUUCGUUAGUCAGUUGUUUCAACUCAGUUUUGCCGUUUGAUUUUUAUUUGAUCACAAAAAAAUCCACUCCGCUAUUGGGUUAGAAAAGGGUUUCCUGUUUUCUUAUUCAAAGAGUCACUGUUACGUUCCGUUGAAAUUAUGGAUCUCGGUGUGGUACUUUUUGGUUCUUUAUCUUGGCUUCUGUUUUGGCGUUUGGGCCUGUGCCCUCCUUAGUUUAUGGCCUUUUGGGCUUUUAUCCCGCUUGGAGGCUGUCUGACCCUAUUUGCAAAUGCACAAAAACGAAGGUUUCUCUUUUGUGGACGUUGGCCAUUCAUAUCAACCCAAGGUAUCUCUCUACAAUCUAAUGGUUAACAAUGGAAGUUUAAUAAAACCGUGGGUUUUUAGCUGCUUCCAUGCAAUUUUCUUCUUCAUAUCUGGAAAAUAUUACUAUCUAAUUCAGAAGUACUUCUGGGAUGUUGCUUAUGGACUCCUUGACGAAGAUAUCUUUCAAUCGCUGCUGCAUUAGAGGUGGAGAUUUGAUUAUUGUAUAUGAGAGGCAUGAUACUAUGAAAGUUGUUAAAAUUGUGCGACAAUUCGGUUCUUCAAAAUCGUUUGGGUGUAUUUAAAGCUGUUAAAGCUGCAUUAUAUUUGUUAAGGAAUAAGAAAACACUAAGUAAAUCAUACCGAGUUUUUAAAACAUAGGCUUUUCUUCUUUUUUCCACGCCCUGCUUCUUUCUCGUUGAAGAUUGGGGACUUUUGCGCUCGCAAUAAAGCUAGGUCCUGAUCGAGCAAGUAGUCCUAUCUAUCCACCUCUCCAAAAACAAUAUAUUGACCACAUCUGCUGGCAUGUGAUGUUUGGACAUAGAAUCGAGUCCUUGUAAAUGGGCAGAGCUGGGUAUUAAUAAGCACUGAAUUUAUUUUACAACGUUUUAAUAAGCACUAAAUUUAUUUUACAACGAUUUAGUAAGCACUGAAUUUAAUUCAUUCUUAUUCUGCACCAGGGAUAUCCCCAUGAUAUCCCGCACCGGGAUAAGCUAUUCCAAGAUUUUUCUUGUCGUAUUUCAUCCGGUUCAGUAUUUUUAGUGUCCGGUUUGGCUGUUCUGGCAGCCGGUUCAGAUUUUUAACCUGUCUGGACCGGGUUACCUGACAUAGAUAUUCCAAGCAGGGAUAUCCCAUUCCAGGGUUAUCCCGACUUCGGUUAUCCUAUUCUAGGGGCAUCCCGGCUUGGGAUAUUCUAUUGUACGGAUAUCCCUCCUUGGGAUCUAGGGGUUUGAGGCUUGGGGCCUGGGUUUUGGGUUGGGCUGGUGUUUUUGGACUUUUGUUUCAGUGUUUGGGGCUUUGGAUCUCCUAGGUUUUGGAUUACUGGGUUUUAGACUACAUCAGAUUGUGAUUUCAGGGACCAAAAUAUAUACCUAAAAUUUAUUAGCCUUGUAAAUUAUUAAAAAAGAAUUGAGGAUGAUGUUUCAUUUUAAUUGAAAUGGGCUCUUUUUAUAAUAAUUCCAACAAGCCAACUCUAGGCCAUUGAUGACUUUAAUCCAACAAACCAAAUGGACCGUCUGAAUGAGGGGAAGAAAAUAAGGAAGCCAGCCACUAAGAAAUGAAGCUUCUCUCUCCUUUGUUAUAGGAUUUAUGAAUAACCUCGAUUUCAAUCUCUCUCCUCCUGCUAUAUCUCCGGCAGUAAAACUCCACCGUUUCUUUCUAUCUUCAUCAGUUGGGUUUUGGCUCAGAUCGACUCCCGCGUAAGAAUUUGUGCCUUUGUUUCACAGUUCGAAUCCUUAUUUCUCUUCUCCUAAAGAUUCUUCUCAUUUGAAUCUUUGCCAUUAUCGUUUUUACACAACUUUUGGUUUGGAAUUACGGGUCGAUCAUUUGAAUCUUUGCCAUUAUCUGUUUUGGAGUGUGGUGUGUUUAACUGUUUUGCCGUUAUUUGUUUCACAUGUCGUGUAAAUAAUCGAGAUUCCAAUUCAAAUGAUGAGACAAGUGCUAGGGCUAGCCUAUCCAGAAUCGUUAUGUUAGCUGAAGCUUUAUUUGAGGUUCUGGAUGAAAUCCCCCAGCAGUCUGUGGUUUUAUCUUCUCGACCUUCUGUAUCUUCAAUUUGAUCUGUUCCCGCUCCUAACGAAGUUGUGGAAUUGCUUCCUGUCAAAAUUUAUAACAAGUCACACAAACUUCAUAAUGAUGAGGCUGGACAGUUCUCCCUGUAAUCCUCAGAUUGUAUCUUUCUUGGGAUUGCUAGAUCUUCCUUAUGUUCUUGAUAAUGCAUCGGACUACAGGGAUACUCCUGCUUCAUUGCCUCAAAAGGGUAGAGUUUUCUAUUUACCUUGCCCCACUCAGUUUUGAUGAUGUUACAGCAUCCGUUAUGUGAUAGGCCAGUUUAAGAAGAAUACCUUUUCAGGAGUUUCGGAGAAAUCACCUAGAAUAACCAAGCUUUUGAAGCUUUCAAGUUAAUAAUCCGUUAAACUAAUGAAUGGAGGGCUUUAAACAAAGCCAACAAUUGUUUCGGGUUUACCUAUUUAUUAUAAAGCUGAUUUUGUUUGCCUUUCUA